rnacentral:rRNA from 1 species
GAUGAACGCUGGCGGCGUGCCUAAUACAUGCAAGUAGAACGCUGAAGGAAGGAGCUUGCUCUUUCCGGAUGAGUUGCGAACGGGUGAGUAACGCGUAGGUAACCUGCCUGGUAGCGGGGGAUAACUAUUGGAAACGAUAGCUAAUACCGCAUAACAGUAGAUAUUGCAUGAUAUCUGCUUGAAAGGGGCAAUUGCUCCACUACCAGAUGGACCUGCGUUGUAUUAGCUAGUUGGUGAGGUAACGGCUCACCAAGGCGACGAUACAUAGCCGACCUGAGAGGGUGAUCGGCCACGCUGGGACUGAGACACGGCCCAGACUCCUACGGGAGGCAGCAGUAGGGAAUCUUCGGCAAUGGACGGAAGUCUGACCGAGCAACGCCGCGUGAGUGAAGAAGGUUUUCGGAUCGUAAAGCUCUGUUGUAAGAGAAGAACGAGUGUGAGAGUGGAAAGUUCACACUGUGACGGUAUCUUACCAGAAAGGGACGGCUAACUACGUG